rnacentral:rRNA from 1 species
CCUACGGGAGGCAGCAGUGGGGAAUAUUGGGCAAUGGGCGCAAGCCUUACCCAGCAAUACCGCGUGAGUGAAGAAGGUCUUCGGAUUGUAAAGCUCUUUGAUCAUGGACGAACAGAUGACGGUACCUGAAGAACAAGCCCCGGCUAACUACGUGCCAGCAGCCGCGUUAAAACGUAGGGGGCGAGCGUUGUCCGGAAUGACUGGGCGUAAAGGGUUCGUAGGCGUCAUAAUAAGUUAGAAGUGAAAUACCCAGGGCUUAACUCGGGUGCUGCUUCUAAGACUGUUGAGCUUGAGUGCGGGAGAGGUUAAUGGAAUUCCUAGUGUAGUGGUGGAAUGCGUAGAUAUUAGGAGGAACACCAGAGGCGAAGGCGAUUAACUGGACCGUAACUGACGCUGAGGCACGAAAGUGUGGGUAGCAAACAGGAUUAGAUACCCCAGUAGUC